rnacentral:rRNA from 1 species
ACAGUGGACGCGAGCAUCUGUGGCCAAGUUUUUAAGGGCGCACGGUGGAUGCCUUGGCACCAGGAACCGAUGAAGGACGUGGGAGGCCACGAUAGUCCCCGGGGAGUCGUCAACCAGGCUUUGAUCCGGGGGUUUCCGAAUGGGGAAACCCGGCAGUCGUCAUGGGCUGUCACCCGCUGCUGAACACAUAGGCAGUGUGGAGGGAACGCGGGGAAGUGAAACAUCUCAGUACCCGCAGGAAGAGAAAACAACCGUGAUUCCGGGAGUAGUGGCGAGCGAAACUGGAUGAGGCCAAACCGUAUGCGUGUGAGACCCGGCAGGGGUUGCGCAUGCGGGGUUGUGGGAUCUCUCUUC